rnacentral:rRNA from 2 species
UAAUGGCUCACCAAGGCGACGAUCCCUAGCUGGUCUGAGAGGAUGAUCAGCCACACUGGAACUGAGACACGGUCCAGACUCCUACGGGAGGCAGCAGUGGGGAAUAUUGCACAAUGGGCGCAAGCCUGAUGCAGCCAUGCCGCGUGUGUGAAGAAGGCCUUCGGGUUGUAAAGCACUUUCAGUCGUGAGGAAGGUGGUANUGUUAAUAGCACUAUCAUUUGACGUUAGCGACAGAAGAAGCACCGGCUAACUCCGUGCCAGCAGCCGCGGUAAUACGGAGGGUGCGAGCGUUAAUCGGAAUUACUGGGCGUAAAGCGCAUGCAGGUGGUUUGUUAAGUCAGAUGUGAAAGCCCGGGGCUCAACCUCGGAAUAGCAUUUGAAACUGGCAGACUAGAGUACUGUAGAGGGGGGUAGAAUUUCAGGUGU